rnacentral:tRNA from 3 species
CGCGGGGUGGAGCAGUUCGGUAGCUCGUCGGGCUCAUAACCCGAAGGUCGUAGGUUCAAAUCCUACCCCCGCAA